GGCAUGCCUUACACAUGCAAGUCGAACGGCAGCACGGGUGCUUGCACCUGGUGGCGAGUGGCGAACGGGUGAGUAAUACAUCGGAACAUGUCCUGUAGUGGGGGAUAGCCCGGCGAAAGCCGGAUUAAUACCGCAUACGAUCUACGGAUGAAAGCGGGGGACCUUCGGGCCUCGCGCUAUAGGGUUGGCCGAUGGCUGAUUAGCUAGUUGGUGGGGUAAAGGCCUACCAAGGCGACGAUCAGUAGCUGGUCUGAGAGGACGACCAGCCACACUGGGACUGAGACACGGCCCAGACUCCUACGGGAGGCAGCAGUGGGGAAUUUUGGACAAUGGGCGAAAGCCUGAUCCAGCAAUGCCGCGUGUGUGAAGAAGGCCUUCGGGUUGUAAAGCACUUUUGUCCGGAAAGAAAUCCUUGGCUCUAAUACAGUCGGGGGAUGACGGUACCGGAAGAAUAAGCACCGGCUAACUACGUGCCAGCAGCCGCGGUAAUACGUAGGGUGCGAGCGUUAAUCGGAAUUACUGGGCGUAAAGCGUGCGCAGGCGGUUUGCUAAGACCGAUGUGAAAUCCCCGGGCUCAACCUGGGAACUGCAUUGGUGACUGGCAGGCUAGAGUAUGGCAGAGGGGGGUAGAAUUCCACGUGUAGCAGUGAAAUGCGUAGAGAUGUGGAGGAACACCGAUGGCGAAGGCAGCCCCCUGGGCUAACACUGACGCUCAGGCACGAAAGCGUGGGGAGCAAACAGGA
rnacentral:rRNA from 1 species